rnacentral:tRNA from 1 species
GCCGACGUAGCUCAGGGGUAGAGCAGUGGUUUCGUAAACCACCGGUCGCCAGUUCGAAUCUGGCCGUCGGCUCCG